CCCAAUGUCGGUCAUCUCAAACUCUUUAGCCAUCGCUUGCUUGAACUCAUCGAUCAUCCUUUUGGUUAUUUCCUGCAAAGAUUAAAUCAUCCACGUACAAGCAAAACGAUCAAGAUAUCUCCAUCUUUCAUCUUGGCAUAGAGCGCAUGCUCAUUGGGCAUUUGGCGAAGUCAUUUUCUUGCAAGUACUUGUCGAUCCUACUGUUCCACGCCCUUG
rnacentral:lncRNA from 1 species